rnacentral:rRNA from 1 species
UACAGAGGGGGCAAGCGUUGUUCGGAAUUACUGGGCGUAAAGGGCGCGUAGGCGGCCUUCUAAGUCGAACGUGAAAUCCCUGGGCUCAACCCAGGAACUGCGUCCGAUACUGCAUGGCUUGAGGUCCGGAGGGGAGAGUGGAAUUCCCGGUGGAGCGGUGAAAUGCGUAGAGAUCGGGAAGAACGCCGGCGGCGAAAGCGACUCUCUGGUCGGAUCCUGACGCUGAGGUGCGAAAGCUAGGGGAGCAAACGGG